GACAGAGGGUGCAAACGUUGCUCGGAAUCACUGGGCGUAAAGGGCGUGUAGGCGGGAAGGAAAGUCAGAUGUGAAAUCCCUGGGCUCAACCCAGGAACUGCAUUUGAAACUCCCUUUCUUGAGUGUCGGAGAGGAGAGCGGAAUUCCUGGUGUAGAGGUGAAAUUCGUAGAUAUCAGGAAGAACACCCGUGGCUAAGGCGGCUCUCUAGUACGGUACUGACGCUGAGACGCGAAAGCGUGGGGAGCGAACAGG
rnacentral:rRNA from 1 species